UUUUUUUCUAGAAAAAGGGAGAGUCGUUCCUUCUACAUACAGAUGGUUUCUGGAAGGUGAAAUUUUAAUGUAAACCUUUGUGAGACAUUCACUUCUGAAUGAGAAAGGAAAGAUGUCUUCUUCUAAGGGCCUAUUGACUUUCAUGGAUGUGGCUAUAGAGUUCUCUAAGGAAGAGUGGGAAUGUCUGGAUUCUGCUCAGAGAGCUUUGUACAGAGAUGUUAUGUUAGAGAAUUACAAUAACCUGGUUUCUGUGGGUGUUACUGUUUCAAAGUCAGAGGUAAUCUUCUGUCUUGAACAAAACAAAGAAACAUGGAUUGCUGAUAGAGAAGAUAUGGAAGAAAUAAAACCAGCUUUUUCCUGUGAUUAUAGCAAGAAGCUACUCCCCAAAGGACAUACACAGGAUUACUUCCAAAAUGAAAUAUCACAAAGAUUUGGAUGUAGUAGCCUUUCAGAUAUAUAUCGAAACAAGUUCUGGGAAGAUAGAUGUGAUAGUACAGAGUAUGAACUAUAUGAUUAUGUAAAUGAUCAAUUGGAAAAGCACAUCUGUUUCAUUCCUGACAAUUAUCAAGAAGCCCUAACUUCCCUUGAAAGAAGUAAUUCUGGGUCACUCUCAUUUUCACAACUGGAGGA
rnacentral:lncRNA from 1 species